rnacentral:rRNA from 1 species
ACUCCUACGGGAGGCAGCAGUAGGGAAUAUUGGACAAUGGUUGAGAGACUGAUCCAGCCAUGCCGCGUGCAGGAAGAAGGCCUUCUGGGUCGUAAACUGCUUUUUUCUGUGGAUAAAAGACCCGUGCGCGGGAAAUUGAAGGUAGCAGAGGAAUAAGCCACGGCUAACUACGUGCCAGCAGCCGCGGUAAUACGUAGGUGGCAAGCGUUGUCCGGAUUUAUUGGGUUUAAAGGGUGCGUAGGCGGCCCUGUAAGUCAGUGGUGAAAUACGGCAGCUCAACUGUCGAGGUGCCAUUGAUACUGCGGGGCUUGAGUACUGAUGAGGUAGGCGGAAUUGACGGUGUAGCGGUGAAAUGCUUAGAUAUCGUCAAGAACACCGAUAGCGAAGGCAGCUUACUAAGGAGUAACUGACGCUGAGGCACGAAAGUGCGGGGAUCAAACAGGAUUAGAUACCCUGGUAGUCCGCACAGUAAACGAUGAUUACUCGAUGUUGGCGAUACACAGCCAGCGUCUUAGCGAAAGCGAUAAGUAAUCCACCUGGGGAGUACGCCCGCAAGGGUGAAACUCAAAGGAAUUGACG